rnacentral:rRNA from 1 species
AUGGCCUCCCCUGCCGCUCAUCUCCACCUCCUCCAGCGAGCCCAAUCGCUCCCACUCCAUCCCCUCAACCCAUGGAUUUCGGGGCAUCCCCUCUCGGCCACCACCUCUCCUCCUCUCUUUGUUUCCCCCAGGUUCCUGAUCUGGAGCGGGAGAGACAGAUACGGCAAAAAGCGCUGGUGCCGGCGUGGGAUGAUAGAGGCCACCACCUCUCCUCACCUCCUCCCAUGUUCCGGUGGCGGCACCGGGGAAGAAAGGAGCAGCAGCCAUAGCAGGCGCGUUGCUGACGAACGCGAUCUGCAGCAGCCGCGGCAGGAGGCGGUGUUGAUGAAGCGGCGGUCUGUGCCGUCGCCGCCGCUGUCGUCCUCUGGCAGAAGGUCAAGCCAACAUGAAUCAACAACGCCACGGCGAGAAACGACCAUGGGUCCUGGAGCCGAGGUAACCCUCUCAUCCCCUCCUCCAUUCUCGUCCCUCCCUCCCUCCUUUUUGCUAGCUGCCGCUGCUCCUCUCUCUAUCGCUCUCACCUGA